rnacentral:rRNA from 1 species
CCUACGGGUGGCAGCAGUGAGGAAUAUUGGUCAAUGGGCGCGAGCCUGAACCAGCCAAGUAGCGUGAAGGAUGACUGCCCUACGGGUUGUAAACUUCUUUUAUAAAGGAAUAAAGUGCGGCACGUGCGCCUUUUUGUAUGUACUUUAUGAAUAAGGAUCGGCUAACUCCGUGCCAGCAGCCGCGGUAAUACGGAGGGUCCGAGCGUUAUCCGGAUUUAUUGGGUGUAAAGGGAGCGUAGAUGGGUUGUUAAGUCAGUUGUGAAAGUUUGCGGCUCAACCGUAAAAUUGCAAUUGAUACUGGCAGCCUUGAGUACGGUAGAGGUAGGCGGAAUUCGUGGUGUAGCGGUGAAAUGCUUAGAUAUCACGAAGAACUCCGAUUGCGAAGGCAGCUUACUAAGCUGCCACUGACAUUGAUGCUCGAAAGUGUGGGUAUCAAACAGGAUUAGAUACCCUGGUAGUC